UACCCCCAUUACCCCUUCAGAACCCUCUUUGUCUCUUUCACCUAUCAAACCCUAAUCCCAUUGUCCACCACCUGUGGCCGGCGUCCAAUGAUCUCUAAAUUACACCAAAGCACCAUCUUCCUCCCCUCAGGAAAAUUCCAACCUCCGUUUCAAUCAAAUCCCACCAGAACUCCUCAAAUCUUCAAAACCCUAGCCGCCGGCCUAGUUUUCUCUGGUGGCGGCGCAGCUCAAAUCACCCAAAAUCGACACCCCCUAACCACCGGACCUCCCUCGUCUUAAAUCUUUUUUCCUCCCACUUCAAAUAUCGACCAAGUUCCUCAAAAUUUUGAAUCUGAGAGUUCAAGUAAAAUUCAGAUGGAAGUUCCAGCAUGCAAAGACCUUCUCCAUUUCCUGUGGUUUUUACCCACUCUUGAACAAAAACGGGGAUUGAUGUUACAUUGAAGUUCAAGCUGGAAGGUUAGCCCUGAGCUUAAGUUGAAUCAGUGAGUUCUAAGCUCAUUUCUUCUUGUUUGUUCUGUUCGUUCCUUCUUUAUUCUCUUUGUACUCAUUUGUCCUGCUUCGUUUGUUUUCUUUCUUAUUUUUUCUUUUCUCUGACAUUUUUUUCAUUAACAAAGUUAGCUAAAUAGUUCUUUACUCUGUCGAGUUUUGAUUGUUCGUAACUUGCGCUCGAAUCUUAAUUUUGCUGCCUUUCGAUUGAUGGUUUUCAUAAAUUAAACUUUUUACGGUUGUGUUUAGUUUUGUUUGACUUCUGCCUGGAGUUAUGUGCAUUUGCCAAUGGUGUGAUUCUAGCUUCAUAUUGAUUUUUUUGUUAUUAAUUAUUUUAUGGUGAACAGACAACAAUAAUUAGUAAUCUGGAAAUCAGUAUUUAGUUAGAUUGGGUUUAAAAUUUGGUUAACUGAUUAGUUUAACCACAAUUAGUUAGAAAGAUUGAGUCAAUUAACAUAGGUUAGUAAUUUUUGGGAUAUUCAGGGGUAUUUUGGGCAUCUAAUAAUGGGUUAGAAUGCUGUAGUUAAAACUAGAAUUCUCUAAUAUCUUUUAGAAUAGUACUUUAGUUUUAAUUUCCGAAAGUUGGGAGGUUAACUUGAGACGUAAGUCAGUAAAUAAGAGGUUAUUUGAGUAAAACACUGGAUUUAAAAAGGACUAGAAUGAAACUGAAAAAUCUGAGGGUUGCCCCUUAGUUUUGCUUAUAUAAAGCAACCAUUAGUGCCAUAAGUCUUAAGUUUGGAGCCUCUAAAAAAUUUCCUCCUAUUGUUCACAAGUUUUAGAUCUGAAAUUUGAAAUUCAAACUCCAAAUAUUAAAAAAUAAAAAAAUAAAACAAGAGAAAAACCAAAAGAAAAUCUAAAAAAAAUUGUUACAUUGAAAGUCGUUAAAUCAAUUCUGAAUUUUAGCUGUUGAUCUUCCCUUCCUAGCUAGGUUUCUAGUUACUGGAGGUUUCAGGACAUUUCUGGGUCAAUUUCGAGUUGUUGUGAGUGUAUUCAAGCUGGUUUUGGUUGAUUUAGUGAUUGAAAUUAAUCUUGGUCGAUUGUUAUUAUCGGAUUUUGAACUUAUUCCUGAGCUGCUGCUGAGAACUUUUAUUGCUGGUGCUCUCUUCUUCUUCUUCUUCUUCUUAUUGCUCUUUGAUGUCCAGGUACACGUUUGAAUCCACUCUGCUUUAACUCUGAGUUUUGAAAAAGAAUAAAAUUGCUCGCCUAUUUGAUCCUGAAAUAAGCUGCCUGGAUUGUUGUGUGUUAGUAGCUAAAUAGACGUUGGAUAUAAAUAUUCAGCAUAGUUUAAAGUCAAUUUGUAUGUACAUAAACCCCGGACUGUAUAAUUGAGACUGAAUCAGACUGUUUUCGAUACUGUUGAGACGUUUAGAAUUAAUUGUAGUCCACUUUCCUAAUAUUUGAAUUUUGCAUAUGAGGGUUAGAACCAGACUGCUGUAAAUGUUGAAUAUGAGCCUGUUUUUUAAGAGCUGCAACUUCAUUGUAUUAAUUUGAAUAGGCCUGUUAAUAUUAAACCAGGAUAUUCACACCUAUUCAUGCUAAGUUUGCACGACUCUAACAGUUUAUUGUAAUUGAUGACUACUAUAGUGAAAUAGUCACGUUCAUUGUAGUUAUCAUGUAAUAUUAUAU
rnacentral:lncRNA from 1 species